rnacentral:lncRNA from 1 species
CAUUAACGUACGCCAAAUUUAGAAUAAUCCAAAAACUCAAAAUAAAAAAUUAAACCACAACCGAACGAGAUUCAGAGCAAUAAAACUACCGAAUUCCAUAAAGAAGAAUAUCUUUUGAGCUAAUACAAAACCAAAACGAGAGAGAAAAUCCGAUACUACUCUCUUAACAUAUAAUAAUAAGUCUGAUUAAUUAAAAACAAAAACAACACAGAAAAUGAAAAACAAAACUUAAGAUCACUUGAUGUUGUCGAAGAACAAACACACUACUUGGAUCUCUGUCUCAUCUUUCGGCGCUUCCUCUUCAACCUCCUCAUACGCUUCUUCUUCCACUGCACAAAUCCAAAAUCCAAAAUCAAAAUCCAAAAUCAAAAUCAAAAUCAAACCAAAAGCAUUGUAAUUUUAACAAUAGAAAAAUUAAUUGCAAUGGAUCUAACCUUGGCACGCAUGAUUCUUGAAAACGGAUGAGAAUUUGAUGAGAGAAAACCUAAUGAGACUGCGCAGAAGCAA